CUUAGUUCAUUUAUAUAUAAUAAUUUAUUCUUCUAUUUUGUAAUUUAAUUACACAUUUAUGUUUUUCUAUAAUCCAUAUAUAUGUACAUUCUUUUGCAUAAUAUAUAUAUUGAUUUUUGUUAUAUGGAUCAUAAUUUUAUUUUUGAACAACGCUUCUGGUUGUAUUUAUAAUAUUUUCUUUGUUGGACUAAUUGGUUAUUGUUUAUUUGUGUUAAGAAUUUUUUUUUUUUGAACUCCACAUCUAACUUUCGUAUCAUUUAUUAUUUAUAAGACUUUUUAUUGUCAUUUAUUUUUAUUUACAUAUUCA
rnacentral:lncRNA from 1 species